ensembl:lncRNA
AUGACAUCAUUAGGUUCUGUCUUUCAGAAACAUGGCUUUUCAUAUCACUGCUACGCUGAUGACACUCUACUCUACCUCUCAUUCCAUCCUGAUGAUCCGACGGUAGCUGCUCACCAUCUCAGCUUGUCAGCUUGUCUAACAGACAUUUUUUACUGGAUGAAGGACCAUCACCUUGCACCACAACUCAGCCUUGCCAAGACAGAACUGCUUGUGGUUCCAGCAAACCCAUCGUUUUAUCACAAUUUCACCAUCACAUCAACCAUAACUCCUUCAAAAACAGCCAGAAACCUUGGAGUUGUGAUUGAUGAUCAGCUAACUUUCUCAGACCACAUUGCUAAAACUGUCCUGUCCUGCAGAUUUGCUUUAUUCAACAUCAAGAAGAUCAGGCCCUUUCUUUCAGAACAUGCUGCACAACUCCUUGUUCAAGCACUUGUUCUGUCUAGGCUAGACUAUUGCAAUGCUCUCUUGGCAGGUCUUCCAGCCAGUUCUAUCAAACCUUUACAAUUAAUCCAGAACGUGGCAGCAAGAUUAAUUUUUAAUGAGCCGAAAAGAAUACACGUCACACCUCUGUUUAUCAGUUUGCACUGGCUACCAAUAGCUGCUUACAUAAAAUUCAAGGCAUUGAUGUUUGCCUACAAAACCACCACUGGCUCUGCACCCCUUUACCUAUAUUCAUUACUUCAGACUUAUGUGCCCUCUAGAAGCUUGCAUUCUGCAAGUGAACGUCGCUUGAUUGUGCCAUCUCAAAGAAGCACAAAGUCACUUUUACAGACUUUUAAACUAAAUGUUCCCUCCUGGUGGAAUGACCUGCCCAACUCAAUCCGAGCAGCUGAGUCCUUAGCCAUCUUCAAGAAUCAGCUUAAAACACAUCUAUUCCAUCUUUUUGACCCUCUAACUUUUGCACUCAUUAUUCUAAUUCUAUUCUUAAAAAAAAAAAAAAAUCUAACUAGCUUUCUAAUCUUUUUGUUUUCUAUCUGUUUUCUUUUCAUUCAUUAUACAAUUAUCAAAAGCAAAAAAAAGACCUCUAACACUAGCUUGCUCUAUUCUUUUUCUAUCUGUUUUCUUUUUAUUUAUUAUAUUAUUUAA